AAGGCUUUAGUUAAAUACAAUAAUAACAGCUUGUCAGGCUGUAGUAAUCUUUCAUGAUAAGCCUUG
rnacentral:tRNA from 1 species